GGGGGUGUAAUGGUCUCGACAUUGGCAUUCGCGCAUGUGGUGCACUCCGGAGGGCUCGGCUCCGUCAUCAACGGCACAGUUAAUAUAACUGCUAAAAACGAAAAUUCUUACGCUCUCGCUGCCUAAAGUAGCUUAAGCGUGAUCCGCCCAGUCUCACCCAAGGGCUAGAUACGGGUCUCAAAAUCAUUGGGUUACGGCGACCGGUGCGACUCGAGCUUGUCGCAAGAGAUAGUGAGCAUGCGUUCGUGGGUUAGCCAGGUUGGCCGGCGCGCCACGUGCGCGAGAUUUAAAUAGGUCGACUAUGAGUGUAGAGCCAUGUGUUGGCGGGGUUGAUGGACAGGAGUUCGAUUCUCCUCACCUCCAUAG
rnacentral:tmRNA from 1 species